GCCCGAAUAGUUUAAACAAAACAUCGGUCUUGUAAGCCGAAACUGAAGACUAACCCCUUCUUCGGACA
rnacentral:tRNA from 2 species